UCUCGAUUCGUCUAGUGGUCAGGAUACCUGCUUGUCAUCUUCACUUCAACCAGCUGAAGACAGCUCGCAGGUGGCCGGGGUUCAAUUCCCCGAUCGAGAG